CUUGACUAAUGACAGAAUAAAAUUUAAUAGGACUCAUAUACAGUUCUGGUAAAAUAAGAUAAAGUUUUCAGCCACUACUAAGAGAUUUUUAUUUUUUUUAAUAAUAAAAAAAGAAGAUUACACAGACAUCCCCCAUUAUUAUGUGUUUGUUUCUCUCUUGAAAGUCUGCCUUCUGGCAAGAAGAAUUCAAGCUUUUGGAAAGCUUUCAAACCCUGAAGGGAGGAUUUGGACAUUUUUCACAGGAAAACAAUUUUUGGAGAAAACAAUUUUUCAUAGGAGAAACAAUUUUGGAGAAAGAUUUUUUAAGGUGAAAAAUCAUGCAGAAGUAGAAUAAUAUUUUGCAUGUUAUAUUUAUAAUUAAUAUUUUUAUCAGAAAAUGUGUAAAUCUGGAACUCAAAAUAUAACCAUGUGUGAAUUAGGAUUCAGCAGAAGUAACUUGUCCUGCUUAAAAUUUGAAAUGACACAUAUAUUUAUGUUUUAUAUAGGUGUAUCUAGUUGAAGUCAACAUGUAACAGAUAUAUUUGGAAAUUAUUUACUUUCUAUAUUUUUCUCCCCUUUAAAAAAAAGAAACCCCUUAAUCUUAGAAUUUGCUUAGUGAACUUUCUACUGCCUUAAAAGUGAGAUUAGAUGCGUUAAAUUUGGAAUUGCAUGCAACUUUUUAUAAGCAUGGCUGUUGCAAAUAGAAUGGUCCAGUCAUGAUAUAUAUUUCUGGAUAUAAAUAAGACAUGCUUCCCUGACAAUCAAUAUUUCCAUAUUGGAAAUUAUUUCUCCAGGACUGACUUUAUGUGAGUUACUUCAAGACUCCUUCACUAAGUAGUAAGUCUGGAUUAAAUCGUCUGUCCCUCAGCCUCUAACUACUCUUCAUAAGGUCCCAUUGUAUCCUGUGCUUCUGCUUCUCAUUGCAUUUCUACCUAACUACAUUGUCUGUUUGUAACUCUGUUGGCAUUUGUUAUUUGCAUUUCCAUGCAACUGUCCCAUAACAUCAUCAAGCCCUCAUUGGCAUGCAUCAGUAAAUGUUUAUUUUCUUCUCAAUUUUUGACUGGGUUCAUCCAAUCUGUGCCGGCUCACUCAUGUGCCUGUGGUCAGCUACAGGUAUGCUAGGAGCUCUGCUGUUCCUGGCAGGCAAUCCCAGGCAUGUUGUCAUGUCUAUGGCAGAAAAAUGAGGAAGAACAAACCCACUCAGCCAAGUACUUUAAGACUUUACUUCGCCAGGCACGGUGGCUCACGCCUGUAAUCCCAGCACUUUGGGAGGCCAAGGUGGGCGGAUCACGAGGUCAGGAGAUUGAGACCAUCGUGGCAAACACGACGAAACCCCGCCUCUACUAAAAAUACAAAAAAAUUAGCCAGUCGUGGUGGCGGGUGCCUGUAGUCCCAGCUACUUAGGAGGCUGAAUCAGCAGAAUGGUGUCAACCCGGGAGGCGGA
rnacentral:lncRNA from 10 species